CCUACGGGCGGCAGCAGUGAGGAAUAUUGGUCAAUGGACGAGAGUCUGAACCAGCCAAGUAGCGUGAAGGAUGACUGCCCUAUGGGUUGUAAACUUCUUUUAUAAAGGAAUAAAACGAGGCACGUGUGCCUUUAUGCUUGUACUUUAUGAAUAAGGAUCGGCUAACUCCGUGCCAGCAGCCGCGGUAAUACGGAGGAUCCGAGCGUUAUCCGGAUUUAUUGGGUUUAAAGGGAGCGUAGAUGGGUUGUUAAGUCAGUUGUGAAAGUUUGCGGCUCAACCGUAAAAUUGCAAUUGAUACUGGCAGUCUUGAGUACAGAUGAGGUAGGCGGAAUUCGUGGUGUAGCGGUGAAAUGCUUAGAUAUAACGAAGAACCCCGAUUGCGAAGGCAGCUUACUAAACUGUGACUGACAUUGAUGCUCGAAAGUAUGGGUAUCAAACAGGAUUAGAUACCCUGGUAGUC
rnacentral:rRNA from 1 species